UCAGCUUGUAAGGUAAAUUAAUACUUUUCUUGUUUUCUCAUUUUCAUGCACUUGCAGCCCAGCAGUGCUGUCCAGCUGAUGGAUUGCCAGGACACUGAUGGAACCAUGCUUGGAGAAAGAGAGUGGAUGGAGCAAUGCAGUUGCUGGUCUGUCCUUUGUGAAAGGACUUCAUUGCCCCUCACCAUGGAUCAGACUGUUAGAUUAUGAACUCUGUUUUGGAGACUAUGAGCCAUUGUACAUCUGCGUGGUAUUUAACACACUAGGAGUUUAGCCCACAUACUUUCAUGGAGGGCUGAGAAUUUUUCACGAUUCUAGCAGUACAAAUAUAUAAUAAACUUGGCCUUGUUUUCAAGAAUUAAGAAUUCCUGUGCAUAAACAUGUGCAAAUGUUUCAUGUACAUCUCAUAUAUUUGCACUGUGGUUUG